GACGAACGCUGGCGGCGUGCUUAACACAUGCAAGUCGAACGGUAAGGCCCUUCGGGGUACACGAGUGGCGAACGGGUGAGUAACACGUGGGUGAUCUGCCCUGCACUUCGGGAUAAGCCUGGGAAACUGGGUCUAAUACCGGAUAGGACCACUGCCUGCAUGGGUGGUGGUGGAAAGCUUUUGCGGUGUGGGAUGGGCCCGCGGCCGAUCAGGUUGUUGGUGGGGUGAUGGCCUACCAAGGCGACGACGGGUAGCCGGCCUGAGAGGGUGACCGGCCACACUGGGACUGAGAUACGGCCCAGACUCCUACGGGAGGCAGCAGUGGGGAGUAUUGCACAAUGGGCGCAAGCCUGAUGCAGCGACGCCGCGUGAGGGAUGACGGCCUUCGGGUUGUAAACCUCUUUCAGCACCGACGAAGCGCAAGUGACGGUAGGUGCAGAAGAAGGACCGGCCAACUACGUGCCAGCAGCCGCGGUAA
rnacentral:rRNA from 1 species